rnacentral:tRNA from 2 species
GGGCCCGUAGCUCAGUAUGGCCUAGAGCACCAGGCUCAUAACCUGGGAGUCGUGGGUUCAAAUCCCUCCGGGCCCA